rnacentral:rRNA from 1 species
UACGAAGGGGGCUAGCGUUGUCCGGAAUUACUGGGCGUAAAGCGCACGUAGGCGGACUACUAAGUCAGGGGUGAAAUCCCGGGGCUCAACCCCGGAACUGCCUUUGAUACUGAUAGUCUCGAGUCCGGAAGAGGUGAGUGGAAUUCCGAGUGUAGAGGUGAAAUUCGUAGAUAUUCGGAGGAACACCAGUGGCGAAGGCGGCUCACUGGUCCGGUACUGACGCUGAGGUGCGAAAAGCGUGGGGGAGCAAACAGGG